UUUUUGGGUGAAAUUAGAUUGUCGAAAUUUGGGGAAAACUAUCUUGGUGUUCAAUUGGGCAGAAUCACAAUCUCCUUGAGGGUUUCAAGAACCCUAACACUUAUUUCUAUUCUCAAUUUGAUUCUUUGCUGAUUUGAGGAUUUUAUUUCAGAUCUGAAAAUUCAAAAAUCUAAUCUUUUAAUUUUCUGUUUCGUUUCAGAUCUAAUUGUUUAGGGUUUUCGUAGGAGUUUCCCGUGAC
rnacentral:lncRNA from 1 species